CUGAAAAAGGGCAAACUUCGCAAGGCUAUAUUAUCCGCAUUUUACAACAUUUCGCAACGAAACUUCGGAAUAUCACUAAUUUUGCGAUGCUCUUUCAAGCUGUGAUGAAAUUUUUGUCCAGGCAUAUCUAGAUCAAAAUUUCACUCAUAAGGGGAAAGGUCUAUUGAAUCCAGCUAAAUUCUGUAAUAUACCGCAAGAUAGGCGUGGCAUUUUGGACAGCAGUGUAGGACAUCUUUGACAGUUCUGAUGUAGAAAGGCAACAGACAACAUCCAAA